rnacentral:rRNA from 1 species
AUUGAACGCUGGCGGCAGGCCUAACACAUGCAAGUCGAACGAGUGGCGGACGGGUGAGUAAUGUCUGGGAAACUGCCCGAUGGAGGGGGAAAACUACUGGAAACUGGAGCUAAUACCGCAUACCAGCAGAUGCGCCCAGAUGGGAGUAGCUAGUAGGUGGGGUAACGGCUCACAUAGGCGACGAUCCCUAGCCGGGCUGAGAGGAUGACAAGCCAAACUGGAACUGAGACACGGUCCAGACUCCUACGGGAGGCAGCAGUGGGGAAUAUUGCACAAUGGGAGCAAGCCGGAUGCAGCCAUGCCGCGUGUAUGAAGAAGGCCUUCGGGUUGUAAAGUACUUUCAGCGAGGAGGCGUUACUCGCAGAAGAAGCACCGGCUAACUCCGUGCCAGCAGCCGCGGUAAUUC